GAGAGAGAGAGAGAGCGAGCGCACUUUUCUGAGAGCACUUUUCUGUUAAAAUGUUUGCUCACAAAAAGUCAAUUUAAUUUUCAAGAUGAAGCAAGUGUCACAGAUGAUUGAUAGAGAGGCGUCCCUGCACACAAGCAGGGAAACCCCGAUUAGAAUCCUGGGGUGAGGAUUGGCGGAUGGUGGCAGUUAGAGAGCGAGAAAUGGCAGUCGGAGGCUUGAGGGAAAGAAAGGAUAAAGCUGGGGUGGGGGAGGAAGAAAUCAGUGGGGUGUUUUGAGGAGAAGUUGGAUGAAAGAAGGAAGGAAAGGGGCAGGAAAGGAAUAGAAAACCGAACCUUUAGAUGAGAUUGCCAGAGACUGUUGCCUUUCUGAAUGUACAGAGUCCUGGAUCAAAUGAACUGAUCCCAAGAGAAGGAGACUGAUGGCUGGGCAGUGCCAGUCUCCUGGUGAGGACUCACUGAAGGACCAAGGCACAAGGCAAGGUCACAAGCCAAGAAAGUCAGGUCUACAAGGGAGUAAGCACAAGUCAAGAGAAGCUAAAGUCAAGAGUCAGGCAGUCAGCUCUAUGCAGGAGCAAGAUGUGGGGAAAUUGAGCGCAAGAGGUGGCUGCUUGCACAAAUCCAUCUAGUUAGUUUGUGGCAAAGGGCAAUGUUGAGCCUUCUCUCUUCCCAGUGUGACUUUCUCAUGAGAUCCAAAUAACUCGGCUGUCCAGCCUCAGAACGAGAAUGGCAGAGUAACAAGAUAUGGAAGUCGGCAACUGUGGCCCACACUCUAAACAUAGAGCAAAACUAAUUGCCACAUGAUGACUGGUGACUCAGCCUGCCAGGAAGAGAUGGUAAAUUUCACUACUGGUUAAGGAGAAGCAGCCCUGGAAGAUGUCCUUUCUGUGUCGCUACACGUCUAGGGAAAGAGAGAUGAAGCACGGACUGUGUGGACUCCCACAGGAAUCGGGAAAGGAACUCAGCAGUGAUGCCGUACAUCUUGAGCAACUCAGGUGGUGACGGAAACAUCGCGGCUCCCAUUGUUUUAUCCAGACACGGUUGUUAGGUUGCCCUGACCAAAGAUGGAGCAUUGGCCGGGGGGGGGGAUGAAUUACCACAUAAACAGGGUGUCUGUUGCCGCGUCCAGGGUGCAAAUGUUUGCCUUGUGGAGUCUCCCACCACCACUCAGCGUGAGGACCCUGUCUGGGCAACUUUCUCUUUGUCGGACAGCUGCACUUCACGGACAGAUCCCACUCUAGGCAACAGACACCCUAAUUGACUCAUGAAAAACAGGGAAUGGGAGUGGCGGGGAGAGGGAGACAGGAGGCGCCUUGGCCAAAAUAAUAAACGUGUUGCCAUAGGAACAGCAAGUUCCCAGCUCUGCACCGCAAAGACAGAGCCACAGUGACAUUUGCAGGCCAAGCAUAGCAUCGCAGCAUCUCCAGAGGGGAUUUCUGUUUGGUUAUCUGUUGCUGGCUGCUCAUAAUGCAUAAGCACAAAGUUUCUGCAAACUCCUGUUGGAGGAGGCGGAAUCUGGGGGUGUUGGGAAGGACCCAGAGCAUGGCCUAAGAAGGCACACAAUUCAGCCAUUUUGCAGAGACCCAUAUAUGCCAUGUUGGCUUGGCUUGGUGUGGCCAACUGCAAGACACCUCCCCUGACCCUCCUUGCUGCUCCCAGUGCUAGAUCCUUAAUGGCCCUGGUCCUUUUCUCUCCUCCUUUCCUGCACCAUAACAGAGCUCUGGCCAAGCAGCAGCACUCCUUAUGCUGACAAGGAGCUAAUGGGUAAACAGUGUAACGGGAUUAUCCUCCCGCUCUCCCUGCUUCUCCCACACCAUGGGCUGCAGAGCAGGAAGAAGCGGCUUUGUAGCAGUAGUGGAGUCAGCCCAACGGCGGCCUGUGUUCUGCCCCACCAGUGACGCCCCAUGCGCACAACGUCACAUGCACGGGGGCAUGGCUCAGGCCGCGGAUCGCUCCUGGAGAGCUCUCGCCCUCUCAUUUCCAGGCAGCGUUUGCUGCCUGGCUGCCCUUUCUGCCAGACAGCAAAUCUUGCCUGGAAAUGAGAGGGGGGUGACUGGGGGCCUUUGGGGCAAUCGGGCCAUGCCCCUUUUGCAUGUGAUGUCACGCGCAACAGCCCUUUUCAUUGGCGGCCACGGCUGCACACCUGGUUCCUGAUGAUGGACCUCAGGAUUAGGAACAUAGGAAGCUGCCUUCUACUGAGUCAGACCUUCGUUGCCUCCAGCUCCAGACUGUCUAUACUGACUGGCAGCAGCUUUCCAGGGUUUCAGGCAGGAGUCGUUCCCAGUCCUACCUGGAGAUCCUGCCAGGGAUUGGUCUGGGUGCAGUUACUUGGUAGGACAGCACCAUCCUGCCCAGUGCAAGGUCCCCACAUGAUCACUUCCCCCAUCUCCUGCCUAGAUUUGUACUCACACACAGUCAAAAAUCAGGAGCACCCGAAGCUCUCAGUUUAUGGUCAUGAGAACAAGUCGACUUGUUCUCUCUCUUGUCAGGAAAGAGUAAUGAGCUCUGGCCAUGGACAAUGCCUCCUAUUGAGGAGCCAUCUGCACAAUUGGUUAAAGGAGUUUUAAUGUAACAUACUGAGAAGUGGCCAGCUCUCCUUUUAAAUAAAAUGUUACUGUAUGGGCCUCCAUCCAGGUUAGGUCAGGACCAUGGUGCACUGAGUGGUAACUUCUUAUUUAUAGUAUUAUUGUUGCUGCUGCUGCUGUUGUCAGUUAACUUAUUAUUUAUUUAUUUAUUUAUUACCCCUUGUGCAAUUUUCUCACCUCAACUCACGUCUUGGAAGCUGCUGUGCCUUGCAAAGUACUUGUGUAGGUAUGAAUUUUACAGCCGACAGACACAUAGCCUUCAACAUUCCUAGAGCCAAGUGAAUCUGGUGUGAAAUAGCAAGCAAAAAAUGCUUUUUAAUUUUUUUUUUCACUAGAGGGCUCUCUUCAGCAGAAGGAUUUCCUUUCUUUAUGUAGUAGUAAACGGGAAACUCUUGAAGAAAACGUUUUCAGUAGUACAUCCAGAAAUCCAGUGAAGAUUGCCAGUUGUCCAGAAAAAUAUCCAGCCUGGCUGCUUCUUUUGAGUUUGGGCAAAUUGCUAGUAAAGCAAAGUACAAGGCCAUUUUUCAUAAGGUCAUACUUCGAAAUUUAAUAGCAACAGGGCUUUGCCAGGAUUUACCACAAUCACCCUGGUUUUGCAAUCUGGUAAUGAAAGAUUUUGGUUACUCUGUCAUAAAACUGUAGUAUAUACUGGGGUAAGCUUUUCCCAUCAGAAAAGUUUACCCCAGUAUAGAAAUCUGAUGGGAUAAGGCAAAAUCUCAGCCUGGUCCAUUGUAAAACUACCCACCAGGAAAGCUUACCCCACUGCAAGGUGAAAUUUUGGUCUAGUCUGUCAUAAAAUUGUACUCAUCAGAAAAGCUUACCCAGAAUGGAAAUCUGACGGGGUAGGAAAAAUUCUCGGUUUAGCCCAUCAUAAAAGUGUACAUAUCAGAAAAACCCGCACAGUGUGGAAACUUGAUGAGGUAAAGAAAAAUCUCAAUCUAGUCUGUCAGAAAACAGUACCCAUCAGAAAAGCUUACCUCAGUAUGGAAACCAGGAGGCUGCCAAUAAGUCAUCCAAGCACCUAUUGCCAUCACCGUCGCUAAGGGAAUCUUCUCCCAAACUCUUGUGCUGCUGACCUUAGUGGCAGAGGUGGUCCAGUACACUCUUCUACAGCUGUGCUGUUCACAGCCACCAUCUUUUUUGGCAAUAAUGCACUGCACUUAUCCCUGCCAUAGAGACACGCACAUUGCAUUACUGGUAAAUAAAGAUGGUGGGCUCCAGAACAGCUGCUCCACCACACCAUUAAAGGGGGACUCAAAAUGGUACUUAUCUGAGAGCCUGUCUUUCCCCCAUGCCAUAAUCUCUCCCACUGACUAUUUAAGCCCUUUUUCUGCUUUUGUAAAUAAGGAGGGAAGAAAAUGGUAGCAACGGCGGCGGCAGCCAGGCCAGGGGCCCGGCAGGGGGGAAAGAUGGUGACAGUCGGGCAGCGGGCAGGCGGGCAGAGAAAACAGUGGGAGCACGCAGAAGAAAGCAGCAGAGGCCAGGUGGGAAGAAAACAACAGCAGCGGCAGGGGACGGGCAGGGGAAACGGCACGGAUGGGGGAAACAUUGGUGGCUGGGUGGGGGGAGUGGCGGCGAACUAGAGGCGCAGAUGCUCUGUACCCGGCCCAGCUAGUUGUUAUUAUAUUCCUAAUUUAUGUAUUAAUUAAUUAUAUUAAUUAUUAAUUAAUAUAAAUAAGAGAUUAAUAAGCAUUAUUAAUAAAUGUAAAUAAUUUGUUCAAACUGGUUUAUAAAUAUUGUUUAACAGUA